rnacentral:rRNA from 1 species
GACAGAGGUGCCAAGCGUUAGGCGGAAUCACUGGGCUUAAAGCGUGUGUAGGUGGAGGCCUAAGUACCUUGUGAAAUCCCACGGCUCACCCGUGGAACUGCUCGGUAUACUGGCGGUCUUGAGCCACUUAGGGGCUGUCGGAACAGACGGUGGAGCGGUGGAAUGCGUAGAUAUCGUCUGGAACGCCAAUGGUGAAAACAGACAGCUGGGAGUGUGCUGACGCUGAGACACGAAAGCCAGGGGAGCGAACGGG